rnacentral:rRNA from 1 species
UACGAAGGGGGCUAGCGUUGCUCGGAAUGACUGGGCGUAAAGGGCGCGUAGGCGGCCGCAUUUGUCAGGCGUGAAAGUCCUGGGCUCAACCCGGGGACGGCGCUUGGGACGGUGUGGCUUGAGUGGGGAAGAGGGUCGUGGAAUUCCCAGUGUAGAGGUGAAAUUCGUAGAUAUUGGGAAGAACACCGGUGGCGAAGGCGGCGACCUGGUCCUUGACUGACGCUGAGGCGCGAGAGCGUGGGGAG